rnacentral:rRNA from 1 species
AGAGAACUCGGGUGAAGGAACUAGGCAAAAUGGUGCCGUAACUUCGGGAGAAGGCACGCUGACACGUAGGUGAAGUGAUUUACUCAUGGAGCUGAAGUCAGUCGAAGAUACCAGCUGGCUGCAACUGUUUAUUAAAAACACAGCACUGUGCAAACACGAAAGUGGACGUAUACGGUGUGACGCCUGCCCGGUGCCGGAAGGUUAAUUGAUGGGGUCAGCGCAAGCGAAGCUCCUGAUCGAAGCCCCGGUAAACGGCGGCCGUAACUAUAACGGUCCUAAGGUAGCGAAAUUCCUUGUCGGGUAAGUUCCGACCUGCACGAAUGGCGUAAUGAUGGCCAGGCUGUCUCCACCCGAGACUCAGUGAAAUUGAACUCGCUGUGAAGAUGCAGUGUACCCGCGGCAAGACGGAAAGACCCCGUGAACCUUUACUAUAGCUUGACACUGAACAUUGAGCCUUGAUGUGUAGGAUAGGUGGGAGGCUUUGAAGUGUGGACGCCAGUCUGCAUGGAGCCGACCUUGAAAUACCACCCUUUAAUGUUUGAUGUUCUAACGUGGACCCGUAAUCCGGGUUGCGGACAGUGUCUGGUGGGUAGUUUGACUGGGGCGGUCUCCUCCUAAAGAGUAACGGAGGAGCACGAAGGUUGGCUAAUCCUGGUCGGACAUCAGGAGGUUAGUGCAAUGGCAUAAGCCAGCUUGACUGCGAGCGUGACGGCGCGAGCAGGUGCGAAAGCAGGUCAUAGUGAUCCGGUGGUUCUGAAUGGAAGGGCCAUCGCUCAACGGAUAAAAGGUACUCCGGGGAUAACAGGCUGAUACCGCCCAAGAGUUCAUAUCGACGGCGGUGUUUGGCACCUCGAUGUCGGCUCAUCACAUCCUGGGGCUGAAGUAGGUCCCAAGGGUAUGGCUGUUCGCCAUUUAAAGUGGUACGCGAGCUGGGUUUAGAACGUCGUGAGACAGUUCGGUCCCUAUCUGCCGUGGGCGCUGGAGAACUGAGGGGGGCUGCUCCUAGUACGAGAGGACCGGAGUGGACGCAUCACUGGUGUUCGGGUUGUCAUGCCAAUGGCACUGCCCGGUAGCUAAAUGCGGAAGAGAUAAGUGCUGAAAGCAUCUAAGCACGAAACUUGCCCCGAGAUGAGUUCUCCCUGAGACUUAGAGUCUCCUGAAGGAACGUUGAAGACGACGACGUUGAUAGGCCGGGUGUGUAAGCGCAGCGAUGCGUUGAGCUAACCGGUACUAAUGAACCGUGAGGCUUAACCUUACAACGCCGAAG